rnacentral:sRNA from 1 species
GACCGCGAUAUCAACGCGGCCAGAAACAUUCUCGCGCUCGGGCAUGAGCGUCCAUCUGUGGGAAUCCCCGUCCUUUAGGGCGGGGAGGAUGUCAAGGAUGAAAACAGC